AACGAACGCUGGCGGCAUGCCUAACACAUGCAAGUCGAACGAGACCUUCGGGUCUAGUGGCGCACGGGUGCGUAACGCGUGGGAACCUGCCCUUAGGUUCGGAAUAACUCCCCGAAAGGGGUGCUAAUACCGGAUAAUGUCUUCGGACCAAAGAUUUAUCGCCUUUGGAUGGGCCCGCGUUGGAUUAGCUAGUUGGUAGGGUAAAAGCCUACCAAGGCGACGAUCCAUAGCUGGUCUGAGAGGAUGAUCAGCCACACUGGGACUGAGACACGGCCCAGACUCCUUCGGGAGGCAGCAGUUGGGAAUAUUGGACAAUGGGCGAAAGCCUGAUCCAGCAAUGCCGCGUGAGUGAUGAAGGCCUUAGGGUUGUAAAGCUCUUUUACCCGGGAUGAUAAUGACAGUACCGGGAGAAUAAGCUCCGGCUAACUCCGUG
rnacentral:rRNA from 1 species